CUUCUGGGGGCCUGGAGAAAGUCUGCAGACUAAAUGAUUACAGCUGGUAUUGUUGUGAUUGCCAGUCUCUGUUUGUAAUAUGACAAAUGAAUGGGAAAAGCCACAACUAUAGAACAAUAGAAACAAUUUUAAAAGGGUUACAUGCCUGUAGCCUAAGUACAGAAAAUCCUUCCUUUUGUCAACAUUGAUUGACUUCUACCUUACGAAUCCUUUAGCCUGGUUGUCUUGACUGUCCUGCAGCCUCACUCUCUUAUCGUAAAGAGAGGACAGUCCAGAGUCAGACGCUCAAAUACAAAGCCAGCACCUUUCUGUCUGCAGCUGAGCACCACCUCCAGCAGCAGCAGCAGCAGCAGACCGAGGAGGGUUUUGGAUCGCAGCUGAAAGAGCGACAACGCAUUUGAAGAGCGCCAGGCUCGAGAGCGUUCAAUAAUAAUGCCUCACUGGCUGGUUACUGGUUGCCGGUCGCUGGUUUCCGGUGGCUCGGGGGACAGUCGAGGCUUUUGAAUGAGCGGAGGUGUCGCUGGAGCGCUGUCCGAGGUGCUAAAACGCCGCCGACAGACCGGCCGCUGUCUCUUUUUCCAGUCGAGACGAUACGCAUGAACUGACGUGAACGCCGAGCAGCACAACGACGGGCACACCAGUAGGCUACGGCGGCUAACACAGCAUCCCCGGCCAGGGUAAAUGGGACCGCACGUCGCCCGAGAGUUAGAAAGAUGGAGAGAUUUAUUUCCCUGCUCGUCCUCAGCUGUCUCUGCGCCUCUCGAGUCACAGCGGAUAGCUUGUCGCCUCCUGUCAAUGUGACCAUCAAAGCAGUGAAAGCAAACUCUGCUGUGGUGACAUGGGACAUCCCAGAGGGAGACCCCGUUAUUGGCUUCGCCAUCACUCAGCAGAAGAAAGACGUGCGCAUGCUGCGAUUCAUCCAGGAAGUCAACACCACCACACGCUCCUGUGCAUUAUGGGACUUGGAGGAAGAGACAGACUACAUUGUGCACGUCCAGUCCAUCAGCAUGUCUGGGACGAGCCCGCUGAGCGAACCUUUGCGCUUUCGAACGCCGAAGGAGGCCGAGACUCAGGCCUCUAAGAGUAAAGACGAAGUGACGAUGGAAGAAGUGGGCCAGUCCACCCAGCUGAGGGCGGGGGAGCUCAUCAUCAUCGUGGUGGUACUUAUCAUGUGGGCAGGUGUGAUCGCUCUCUUCUGUCGCCAGUACGACAUCAUCAAAGACAACGAGCCCAACAACAACAAGGACAAAGCCAAAAACUCCUCCGAGUGCAGCACUCCUGAACAUCCGACAGGGGGGCUGUUGCGCAGUAAGGUAUAACCCACCCCCCUCCUCCUCCCCACCCCCCUCCGGGUGCCUCCCCCACAGCGGCGCCGGGCAGUUCCCCAAGAACAACAACAACAACAAUAGAAUGCCAUCUGUCAACAUCAUUGAGGUGUGACUGCCAGAACAUCUUCUCUUUAUCUAAAAGACUUUGUGUUCUCACAAGCAAGAAGGCCCCUUGUAUAGGCCCAUCUGCUCGUCAGGAUGAGGCUACAACUGUGGGCCCCCUCGGCAGCGCUCGCUCUCCUUUGGCACGGGGCCUGCCUCUGGGGGUCAGGCACGACCUGGCCGGAGCAGGUCUGAGGGCAGAGUCCGCAGCAGAGUGACUGCGGCGAGAGUUCAGAGGCUGCUCCGUGCUCAAUAACUACUGUACCAUGGGGCUGCAGAGAUUAGGGCCAAAUGGCUCCGGUGGUGGAGAAAAACCAACCCCAGGGACCAAAAAAGAUGAACUUUUCAUUUUCUCUCUCUGUCACCUGUUUCUUCUCACCGUCUUUCAGUGCACUAUAAACAACCACAAACCUGGACAUUUCCAAUUACUGGGUGGCUCUGAGAUGCAUCCACUUUGUCGAAAUCGUCUCCUGUACUUUAAUCUUCCACACCUUAUUUUCUUCAUAAUGUUUUAUACACUCUCUGAAUUGAAGGUAGACACUGUAGAUCAUUCAUGUGUAUUGCAGUUUUACUUAUUUUACUUUUAAAAAGCUGCCACCAGAGAAGUCCUGUUAUCCUUUUUUUUUUUUAGAUCCUCCCUCAGGCAAGGAAACUCCUGUGGGAAAUGUUUACAUUUUGGCUUCUCAUUCCUCUCUUCUGUCCCCCUCCCCCCCGCCCCCCUCAGGGAAUCCAGACUCCACCUGGCAAAUUUAGGAGCCAUUUCUUAGAUGUACUGUGAUGACGCCAUUGCAGCUUUAGAGGGAUGACUCGGCUCACCACUGGAACUGAAUCACCCAAUUUGUCAGAAAAAGCAAAAGUAAUUCACUAAUAUUGAACGGCAUCUCUGAUCACAUGUAUACAGUGAAGUAUGUAACCAGGCCAGCCGUGGUAUCCUUUAUGAUCACAUUUGUGUUUGUCGUCUAAUUUCUUUUAUGCUUCUAUUAUAGAUUUCUGAAAUGUUACUUUCCACAACCAGGAUGAGCCCUUUAGUAUUCCCUUGUGUCUUUCUAUUUGAGGGUGAUGAGUUUCAAAGCAUUAUGGAGCACAUUCAUCUAAUUAAGGGACUGGACUCUAUGGAUGUCUAUGGAGAAGUGGUUUCUACGGAGACACUGAAGAGAUCCCUUAUAUCAGCAAUAAGCACGGAAGCAAGGACUCAAACUCUGUAGCCUGUUCGUCCAAAACUUGACCUCCCGGCAUGCAACGUUCAGACAGACAAACAAACUGCAAAUAUUGAGGGAAUUAAUCCCUCUCCUGAACUUUCAGAGACAAGUCUUUCAGCGCUGUUGUAAAAAUUUAUGUUUCUGAUUAAGAGAUGGAAAAAAAAACUUUUUAUGGGCCCAACAUUCUUCAUGUUGACUUCUUUAUGACAUCCUGGACAGAUGUCACCAAGACAGAAGGGCUUCUAUCAAGACUUUUUCACAAAUCAGAGUGAACAUUUGCGUUGAGACUCCAUGUUGAGGAGACUGAGAAUAGCGAUAAGUGAUCAACUGUUGCCAUACGGCACUGUGCAUUGUAUACUGUACAAGGGAACUUGUCUGAAGAAAGCAAAUAGUGUGUUAGGGCUGAUUCAAACUCAGUAGUUCUGCCUUAAAAAUAAUUGUAUCUUAUGAUUUAUCUAAUAAGAUGGAAAAGCCCUGUAUCUCACAUUUGAGCCAUAUUCAUUAGCUUUCACGUAAUAUGUAACUGUGUGUGUGUGCAACGCAAAAGGAAACAUUACAGAUGACGUGUAAACCGAGCUGAGGAAAGAUUUAAAAUCUGGUUGACAGUGAAUGUGUAAAUACAUUUUAGAUUUUAUUCUGGUUUGGUGGCAUCAGCUUAGAGAGCCUUGAAAUAUGACUAAUGUGGAAAAUGUAUAGAAUCCUAAUGUAAUAGGAUACUGCUACUGGUGAUUUAUUUUGUUAAUACACUAAUGUUGUUAAAGUCUUUUUCAUAGCA